rnacentral:rRNA from 1 species
UACAGAGGUGGCAAGCGUUGUUCGGAAUUACUGGGCGUAAAGGGCGCGUAGGCGGUCUUUUAAGUCUUGUGUGAAAUCCCUCGGCUCAACUGAGGAACUGCACGGGAUACUGGAAGACUUGAGUUCGGGAGAGGGAAGCGGAAUUCCGGGUGUAGCGGUGAAAUGCGUAGAUAUCCGGAGGAACACCAGUGGCGAAGGCGGCUCACUGGCCCGAUACUGACGCUGAGGCACGAAAGCGUGGGGAGCAAACAGG